rnacentral:tRNA from 1 species
GGGCCUAUGGCGCAGCAUGGAUAGCGUGUUGGACUUCUAAUCCAAAAGUCAUGGGAUCGAAGCCCAUUGGGCCCA